rnacentral:sRNA from 1 species
AUGAAAUUCUCAAUUUAAUCUUCUAAUGCCUCCAAAAUAUUAAAAAAGAAAAUCGAACUAAAUUUGAACUUCAAAGUGUAGAUUUUCAAUUACCGUACUUACAUAGAAAAUGACAAAUCAAACAAGACUCAAGUUGAACAAAUCCACGUUAUGAUUACAAAACAAAAUAUAAGUUGUAUAUAAGCUGGACCUUGAUUAAGGGCGAGAGUUGGCUGAAAAAGAGUCUAUGCAUAGUGUUUAUGUGUUUUGUAUCAGGUGCUUUAAAUGUGGUAGUGUUAUGUGUUUUGUAUCAGGUGCGAGAGUUGGCUGAAAAAGAGUCUAUGCAUAGUGUUUAUACUAAAUUAAAGUAUCAUUUAAUACUUUGUUAUUUAAAUUUGCUUUUGGAUUUGAUAAUUUGAUUGAAAUAUGAAGCAAAUACUAUUAUGUUAAAAUUUGGUUCUGCCCAUUGGACAGCCCAUUUGGACAUGAGCAUUAAUGGGCAUGGGCGUUAAUGGACAUGGGCCUUAGUGGACAUGAACACUAUUUGUCCAAUAUCGAAAUGGACAUUAUUGGACUGGGCUAAUGGACAUGGACAGCCCGCUUUGACAGCUCUAAUUAAGGCCAGUAGAAUGCUUUAUAUUAUCAGAGUUGUGCAUUCAGAUUGAACUAAUUAACACGAGGAAUUUGGGAUAAAUCGGACAUAGCACUUCUGUUUUAAGUUCCUUUUAACUGUCUUAACGUCUCACUUAGAAGAUUCAAGAUCUCUAUCAAAGAUCUAUAGAUCUUGAACCUCACUAUAUACAAGUACAACAUGUCAACAUAGAUAGUAAAGAUAAGUCAAAUAUUCUCCUCCGUACAUGUGGUAAAUUAAAGCUAAGGAAUUCCAAUCUCAAUAUAUAUAUGUGUGUGAUAAAAUUAUCUUAAAUAGUUUACUUCUUAAUUACAUGAGUUGUACAGUUUAUUAGACCAAUAUAGCUAUAUGAAUUUCUUUCAAGGUCUCUCAAAACUCUUUUUUUUUUUUUGUCCAAUCCCGUACGCUAAAUCUGUUAUCCUCAUAGGUUCUGUUCCAAGAGUUAAAAGAUUUUUUUUCAUGUAAUUUUCAGUAGACAGCUCAAGUCAAUAUUUCUAGAAAAUAUGCUAUCUGGUGCGUUGAAACAUAUUUGGCAGUCCUUU